rnacentral:rRNA from 1 species
AACCGGUUCUCGUUAGAUCACCGAAGUCAAGCAUCAUUGGGCGCGGUCAGUACUUGGGAGGGUGACCACCUGGGAACACCGCGUGCCGUU